UUUUAAGGACAGGGACAAGCAAAAAUGUGU
rnacentral:piRNA from 1 species